ACCAGAUGCAGUGGCACAUGCCUGAAGUCCCAGAUACACAGGAGGCUGAGGCAGGAGGAUUGCUUGAAGCCAGGAAUUCUGGGCUAUUAUACUGUGCUAUACUGAUUGGGUGUCCACAUCAACAUGUUGACCUGGGAGUGGGGGACCACCGUGUUUCCUAAGGAUGGGUGAACCUGCCCAGGUCAGAAAUGGAGCAGGUCAGUAGUGGGAUCGCACCUGUGAAAAGCCACAGCACUCCAGCCUGGGCAACAUAUGGUAAGACCUUUUCUCUU
ensembl:misc_RNA Metazoa_SRP Metazoan signal recognition particle RNA